GAGACUGUAGACCGCCACUCCCGGGUCGCCUCUUUCGAAACCGUGGUGGAGGCGGUGGUGGGGGGGGUUCUCCCUCGGGUUUCUCGAACGCGUGACCGACCUCCUCCCCCGAGUCUAGCUACCCAAAUAAAUCCGAAAUAGGGCCGCCAGGAGGAGUGAAUAGGCCCGAACCUCUGUUCCCCUGCCGCUCGGGCCUGAGAACCGCUCUCCCGAGGGCCGAAGGGUGCCGAGCCGAGCUGACUCAGUGCCCACCCGAGGGUCGAGGCCCUGGGAGGACUUCGGUAGUUGACGCCGCUUUCCCUGAAUGCCCUGAUUCACCGGGAGCCAGCCGCAUCACUGCUUCCUUGACUGCGAUUGCGUCAAGAUCCCGCCGAGGGAAACUUAGUGGUGACGGUUUUGCGUUGUAGUUGCUACACUAGAGGCAGAUGGAAGACUGUGUGAGGAGAGGCUCGUAAACGCACUCGCCAGAGAAACUCCUUGGGCCGGGUUAAUAUUAACUUAAGGACUCGGGACACGGAUUCCCCCGGGCAAAGUACUGGGACGGGUAAAGGCCCUUCCCUCUGACCCUCUCCUUAGAAGCAGAGCCGCUGUAAAGGCAAUUCAUCUACACUCUGCGUGCCACCAUGUACUCAUUUCCUACCUUGAAGGCUUUGGAGGCCUGUUGUAAAGCCAAAAUAGCUGUUGGGAAGUGCUUUGCCUAUGAAAGUCUUGAUGAUUUUAAUGAUAAGUCCAUUUGCUCCUCUUACAACUAACUAAUCCUGAUGACAUCUGUGUUUCCUGGUAGACUAGGCUAGAGCAGUGAUACUGAUCUGUAAAAAGUAUUUUCGUCAUCACCUGAAAUCUUAGAGACUCGCAACAACAAAAAACCCCGCAGUACAUCUUUAGCCAUGUUGACUUACGACAUUGUGUUGUCACUGUUAGGUUAGGUGACAUAAUAAACUGGUAGAACCAUUGUUCAGUCCCAAAGGUGUGAUUAUCCAGUAUUUAUUAUUUGUGUCUUUUGGCCAUGUUUGGCGAGCAGAACAACGUGAUCGUUAGCUUAGAUCCAGUAGGCAUAUAGGACGAGCAUGCAGCUUCUGAUAGGUUAGACUACAUAGCCAAACUUUGGACUUUUGAGAGAAUCUUGUGUUUUAUGUAAAAAUACUGCUCUAAGGAAAAAAGAGUACUGUGGCUUUUAAGACCUAAAGGUGCUCUUAUAAAGACUGUAUUAACGUA